GCCUCUGUGGACCAUGGAAGUCGCCCUCACGUUUGUACACAACUCCCAUUCUUGAGGUGAGGAGACGGGGGUUCGAUUCCCUCCGGAGGCC